UACAGAGGGUGCAAGCGUUGUUCGGAAUUACUGGGCGUAAAGCGCGUGUAGGUUGUCGUGUAAGUCGGAUGUGAAAGCCCUCAGCUCAACUGAGGAAGUGCAUCCGAUACUGCUCGACUAGAGUGCUAGAGGGGAUGGCGGAAUUCCUGGUGUAGAGGUGAAAUUCGUAGAUAUCAGGAGGAACACCUGUGGCGAAGGCGGCCAUCUGGAUAGCAACUGACACUGAGACGCGAAAGCGUGGGUAGCAAACAGG
rnacentral:rRNA from 1 species